ensembl:lncRNA
GUGAACCGUCCCAGCAACUUGCAGUACUGAGGGCUUCCAUUGGUUUUCUCCUCUGCUUCUCACUCUUUUGUGAUGCUAGAGAGGACCUUAGCUACAGUCACAGCGUAGAGUGCUCCAGCUCCGUGCCUUGUUCACUUGUGUAUCUCCAGCAUCAUCCCAGCUGCCAUGGAUGGAAAUGAGCUACAUGUUUAAUUCCCAUGCCAUACUAUCUCGUGCACAGAGAUGUUUGAAGAAACAGAAAAUGGUUGAAUUCAGUUCAAUUCAGGAGACUUUUCUCUGCACCAGCAAGAAAAACAGGCCUGUACCGUGUGGUGGCCUAGGAGCGCUGCAUCUUCAUUUACACCCAGGCUGGCCGAUGGUCUUCAACUCGCAAGACAUCUCACAUUGCUGGACAGCAAGACCUGGAAUGCUGUACUGAGUGGUGUUCAGUUGCAAUCUGGGUGCAGUAGACAAGAAUGUUGAGAUCUGGGACAAGAACCUGAUCGGCUGUGGAAAUGGGCUGAUGCACCAGUGCUUCGAUUCUGUGCUUUCGCAGUGUUCCUUUAAAUAAUUCUCCAAGUAGAACGCCUUCUCCUUUCCAGUGGUCCUAAUAGCUUCAUAAGUUUUAUCCUGCUUACUUCUAACCCUUUCUUUCCUUUGGAAAUCUUUUUGAUGACUCCAGGUGAUGAAUUCAUGGAGUAGUACUGUGUGUUUGGUACUUUCCCACAGACUCUCAGAUACCGCUGCCCAACGUGUGCCAGUGUCUUACCUUCCCACCCACUGGGUGUCACAUCUUUGAUCUGGCUGCUUGAGGGCUGUCUGUUCUCAGUGUUGAGGCAGCAGUGGGUGGGUGGGUGGGUGGGAAGGAGAAAGCAGCCACCAACUGGCAUACUCAGUCCCUAGAUAAUAACCCAGCAAUAGGGCUAGGCCCCAGUGAGAACAGUGCAAACCCUUCUGUCCCAGGGAUUCUGUGACCUCAGCUCUCUCUGUGUUGGAAUUGAUGCCAGAGACAUCCAACCUGGCGAGCUGCUGAUUGUGAGAUGUCAUCGGGCUUCAAGGCAGGCCCUCAGCUAGCCACAGGUGACAAGGGGUCACCAUCCAGCUCGAAGGAGGGGUGAGGCCCAAUGCAGUUGUCUGGGAUCUUUAUUAGCAUGGUUGCAUCCCCAGCAGCCACAAGAAUGAAAACCAGAGCCUAAAAGGUGCAAGGACACAAGACAACAGGCAUCGGUUGUAACUAUAUGAGAUUGAGCAUGCCCUGGGGUAGAAUUGUAUGUUGACUGUGGCAAAAAUUACUUCCAGGUUCCCCCACCAGCUGUUGAAAACUGAGCUCCUGAUAUAGUCCUGGGCUGGUCAGAAUUAGUCAAGGGCUACUGAAUGCUGAGCCUGCAGGCUAGAGACCCAUUUUCAGAGGGCUAGGAAACAGCUAGGUCUCAUCUUGUUAGGCCCUUGGAGUGAGGAUGCUAACACGUCGAGAGGCACACCCCAAAGACACAGUCCAGACCAACUGAUGCAAAAGCAAGAGGAUUUAUUCGGCGUCUGCGCAGACGGGCCUCCUGAACUUGGUAGUCCAGAGAGCGCCCCCAGCACAAAGCCACACGGUUUAUAUACCUGCAGCGACCAAUCAAAAGCACUAUAGUGUCCAUGCACACAGCAGUCCAAUCCGCGAGCUGAUCAUGUGAAAGGCAUGUGUCUUCUAUCCAAUCAGCUCCGGAAUCACAUGGGAGGCAUGCACCUCAUCGCCAUUUUGUUGUUUACUUCUUUAGCAGUUCCUUUCCUUGCCAGUGCCAUCUUGUUCAGCCUGGGGGUGUGGGGGAUGGGCGACGUCUCGCUCCCUUUGUUCCCCUGGAGGGAGAGCGGCGUCCCGCUUCCCACACCGUUAUUUGAGUAUUAGGAGGCAUACAAACUGGGUUAGGUCUUAGCACAGCCAGGCACAAGUGUCACAGCUAGCUAAGCAUAGGGUCCCUUAUUUUUAUAGCUGCACCUAAUUUUAGCUUUGGGGGAAAAAGUUUAGGGCUAUAAUUUUUAAACUUUAAUUUUAUUUGGUGCAAAGGUAACUUCUUGUUGUUAGUGGUAUUGGCUUAGGUCACUCCAUCUUGGUUUGAUUUUUAAGGUUCUUCAAUCUCAUGAGGUCACAGCUUGCUCAACUGCUCAGAAGGAAACAUCUCAGAAGUAUGUUUCCUUGACAAGGGAGUCUCAACUGUGGCUAUCCACUGGAAUCACCUGGGAGCUUUGAAAAGAAUUCCAAGCCUUGCUGUCACUCCCAGAGUAGGGUGAGGCAUGUGGGUACGGGGAGUGUCUCAAGCUCCCCAGGUGAUCCUCAUCUGAAUGCUAGGUGGAGAUCUCUGUCAUGUACCACUGUCCAUGUUCCCCAGUUUUGCAUUUCCUUGCACUCUGCUGAGAGCAGACACUGUGAGGCUUCCUGCCUGGCCAGCUCUGCCCUCCCUCCAGCCCCCAGUCCCCAGGAGUUGUAGGCACUAAGAGAAAUGGUAAGGUCUUGGUCUUGUACUUGUGUCUUCCCCAGGGCUAAACUACUUGGUCCUUAGCUCUUUCUCUCUCUCCUGUAUGCCCACUGUUCCAGCUUUCCGAUGGCCUUCAUCUCUGCUUACUGAUGAAAGCUCCACCUAGCUUUGUCCCAGCCUCCCUGAGCCAACUCUAAGACCUGUCAUCUUGGUUGGCCCUGCAGGUGAACCUGCAACUCCAGCAUCUCCUUCUGUUUCCGUGUCACUUGCAAAAUGUUCACUCUCCAUGCAAUUCUCUACAUGUCAGUCGGUUUCCCUUUCCUCUCCUUUGGUGUGUAUGACCAAACAGAUCAAAAUCAAGCCGAGCUUUCUGAACAGAUAUCAGUUAAACAGCAGCUGAGUGGACUCAAUUACCUUUCAGUUUCCUUCCAACUCUCACAUUCUCUGAUACAUUGCAAUUGAGGGCAAUAAAUAAAUAUAACAAAAUCUGCA